rnacentral:rRNA from 1 species
CGGAGGGCUAGCGUUGUUCGGAAUUACUGGGCGUAAAGCGCGCGUAGGCGGCUUUCCAAGUCAGGGGUGAAAGCCUGCGGCUCAACCGCAGAACUGCCCUUGAGACUGGAUCGCUUGAACACGGGAGAGGUGAGUGGAAUUCCGAGUGUAGAGGUGAAAUUCGUAGAUAUUCGGAAGAACACCAGUGGCGAAGGCGGCUCACUGGACCGUUGUUGACGCUGAGGUGCGAAAGCGUGGGGAGCAAACAGGAUU